CGUAUUCACUGUUUGCCUUAAUGUAAAUAUUAUAUCAUAAGGCACGCGGUGAAUGCCAA
rnacentral:pre_miRNA from 1 species